CUCAUUCUGUAAAAACGUGUUGGAGAUAACUUAAGUGAAACAGGAUGUGCACAAAAUAGCAGUCCUGGGGACUGUUUCUAGCCCCAUCUCAAUAGAGCAAUAAUUUUUUUUUUUUUUUUAAAGAAUCAUGAGAGGAAUCACUGUUCUACAAUUUGUUCAUUCUUUAAAAUAAAUGAAUUUGUCCACUUUGAAGACCUGGAAGGUAGUUUGUGGGCAUGGUCCCAGAAUGAUGAAUUUAUUCUAGAUAUAAUUUAUGCAUACCUAUGAGCUCUGAGUCCUGAUCAAGUAGCUCAGCUUAAGAAUUUAUCAUACUUCAGCUGAGCCACAAGCAGCUGUUCACGUGAGUGUUCUAAAUCCACAGCAUAACUGAGAUUAACACUCUCACUAAACCACCCAAGCAGCAACCACAGCUCAGCUAACGGAAGGGUAACUUGCUGAAGUGUAGUGCUCUGUUUGCAAGUUGGAGUCCUGUGAUCUCAGCACACUUGUACCCAUGGACAAUUCUGUACUCAUGUAUGGAAGAUAACAAGGGAAAGUGCCAGGAAUCAGCUUCUCAGUCUCCCACUUCCCCAUGGCCAACAGGGCUCAUACUUCUUUCAUCUGUCAAAACGGCAGCACUACUUGCCUCAAAGGGAAAUUGGAUAUAUGAAGAAGUUGUUUGUGGGAUGCUUUUCAGAAACUAAAAAACAGACCUUGCAUCCACAUAUCUAAAACUUGUUUUUUAAAAAAAAAAAAUCUACUAUUUCUAAUGCUAUAAUUGAUUCUGUUAGAAACAAUUGUCUAUGGUAUCAUUUAAGCUAUUAAAGAAUACUCACCAUGCUGCUGUUUUCUGUCUCACUGAGCCUUCUCUCAGGUGGAGAUCGGAGAGGCUCCCAUCUGAUAAUGGACACUGUGUAUGCAGGACCCACACCUUUGUGCAGAAAAACAGGACAUUCCAAAGCUGUAUGGUCACACAAGAUACUUUGGGAAGCCUCCCACGGAGCACAGCAGUCUGCAGAAGGACAAGAAUCUCACUGAAUCUCACUAGCACCUA